rnacentral:rRNA from 1 species
AGCGUAUAUUAAAGUUGUUGCAGUUAAAAAGCUCGUAGUUGAAUUUCGGGAUCAAUACGUCGGUCGUGCUUCGGUACGUACUGGCGUCAUUGAUUUCUCCCUUCUGACGAACCAUGAUGUCAUUAACUUGGUGUCAUGGGAAAUCAGGACUGUUACUUUGAAAAAAUUAGAGUGUUUAAAGCAGGCUCACGCUUGAAUACAUUAGCAUGGAAUAAUGAAAUAGGACGUUUGAUUCUAUUUUGUUGGUUUCUAGGAUCGACGUAAUGAUUAAUAGGGAUAGUUGGGGGCAUUAGUAUUCAAUUGUCAGAGGUGAAAUUCUUGGAUUUAUUGAAGACUAACUACUGCGAAAGCAUUUGCCAAGGAUGUUUUCAUUAAUCAAGAACGAAAGUUAGGGGAUCGAAGACGAUCAGAUACCGUCGUAGUCUUAACCAUAAACUAUGCCGACUAGGGAUCGGAUGAUGU